CCAGGGGGCCGGGCAGCCGCGUCACGCAAGUGCCGAGGAAAGUCCGGGCUCCACGAAACAAGGGUGGCGGGUAACGCCCGCCGUGCCGGGGAUUUCGGUUUCCGGUAAAGGGAAAGUGCCACAGAGAGCAGACCGCCGAUGGCCCGGACCUGGUCCGGGCACGGUAAGGGUGAAAGGGUGCGGCAAGAGCGCACCGGGGUUCUGGCAACAGCGCCCGCAUGGCAAACCCCACCCGGAGCAAGGCCAAAUAGGGGCCUCGUGCCGAAAGGCAGGGGUGUUUCGCCCCAAGAGGCCCGGGUUGGCUGCUCGAGCCAUGGAGCAAUCCAUGGCCCAGAUGAAUGGCUGCCCCCGCCGAUACGGUCCCCUUGGGAUACCGUCGGCGGGACAGAACCCGGCUUACAGGCCCCCUGGCACA
rnacentral:RNase_P_RNA from 1 species